AUGGCAGUCAACUACCUGCCUACAGGAUCCUCUUCUGUUGUAGAUGAUGUGGCCUGGGAUUGCUAUCAUCUUACUCAAGAAGCUGACAACCUUGCCUAUCUAGCUGCCAUGUCAACUGAUGCAGUCAAGAGCGUUGGUGACUACCCAUAUGACACUGAGUCUGACUUUUCUGAAUGUGACGAGUUUUAUGUUUACUUCCCAUCUGACCAUGAGGGCCAGAACAGUGGUUACUACUCGUCGGACCUCGAGGGUGCUUGUGGUGCAAACUGCCUGUAUGACGAUUUCCUUAAUGAUGGAUCCGACUGA
rnacentral:rRNA from 1 species